UGCAUGCGCAGUGCUGCUGUCCCUGGUGCUGAUAUUUUCAUAGGCACACACCGUGGACCAUGGCAGAAUUUCCAGGAACGCUAGAUGUAUUUGUACUAUUUUUAUGUCUACUGAUUGAAAACUGAACAAAGGAAGUAAAAUGCGAAAGAACGUAAUUGUGAGGAGAUACUGCUUCUGAAAAGGAAUCCAUCGAAAGAGUCAAUCAUCCAGGCUCAGCUAUUCGUUAAUCCUACUUGACAUCUGUUACAUCACUUUUCUCAGUUCAUUUAUUCAACACGUGUUUGUGGAGCACCUGUUUAGACAAUGCAGGGGGGACUGGCUGCGUGGGAAGUGGCAACAGAAAUGGAAACUGUGAUCCUUGCUCUGGAGGUCUUUGCUGCUCCAACUGUAGUCUGAAACCCAGCACAUCGAGAGUUUAAUGAAACUCCUCCGUGAUAUGGCUGCCUCAGCAUCAAUUUUGUGCGGCCAAGCGGCCUGCAGGGGCCUUCAACUGACCCUCAUGCAAGCAGAUGACCUGGAUAACAGCCCCCAGGGUCACAAGUAAAUCUCACCAUCCAACACCUUGGGGCUCACAUUGAACAAAGACAACACAGCAGCAGCAGCACUGGGAGCUUGUUAGAAAGGCAGGCUCUCAGACCCCACAUCAGACCUCCUGAGUCAGAAUCUACAGUUUAACAAGAUCUCCCAGUGAUCUGAAUGGCCAUUAAAGUCUGAGAGCCACCAUGGAAAUCACUACCGUCUAGUUAGCCAUACAGGGCAGUCAAAUGAGCUGUUCACCAUUUGAAGAGGCCAUCACAAUGCUCAGAAGAUGAUCAAAGAAGCUACUUAAGAAUAACAUGCUGCCUUUUUAAAAAACCAAUGCCCACGCUGAACUCAGAAUGGUAAUGAGCUCAGGCAGGAGCCCAACUGAGACCUCCACGGCCGUCCCACCCAGCUGGGAUAUUUGCAUUUUAUACAAACCAUUUUAUGAUGCUAUAAAUUUCACAUUUUUAUAGUUACAGGUCUUAAUCAUCAUGAAUACCAUUUCUGCACGUAUCUUUGGUAAACGGAAUUAAAAUCUCCUCAU